CCAAAAGUGGCGCAUGAAAGUCCACAAAAUACCAUCAAAAUAUGGCAGCCUUCAUUGAUUCAUUUUAGUCAAACAUGGCAGCCCAUAAUUCAAAAUUCAUCCGCCCCUCUUCUAGACAAAAUUUGUCUUCAAUAGUUGCAAUUCAAACAGCAAUUCAGGUUCUAUUCUCCACAGCCUCAAGCUUCAAAAUUCUUCUCAAAAUCAAAUCUUUUUCUCCAAAACCUAUCAAAUACCAUCAAAAUACAUAUAAGAUCAUAAUCAUAUCCUAAAGAUGAUAUUUAAUACAAAUUAAACAC
rnacentral:lncRNA from 1 species